GCCUGAGUAGCUCAGUGGUAGAGCAAUGGACUGAAAAUCCAUGUGUCGGCAGUUCGAUCCUGCCCUCAGGCA
rnacentral:tRNA from 1 species